rnacentral:lncRNA from 1 species
CCAAAACGUAAGCAAUUAUCAUGACUAAACCAACUACUUAUAAUAAUUAAAUAUCGUAUGCAUAUUCCGUUUUGAUUUUUUAAAUAAUGUUCUUGAUAGAAGAUUCAGUGCUGAUGAAAAUGAAACGACAGGUGCAAAGGUUUCCAACAAUUGAAAUCACUUCAAAAAUUCAAAUUAGAUUUGUUGUGGAUUUUGGUCCUUCGUUUAAAGCUUGGUAAUUAUAAUAACAUUUAACUUUGUGUGUUAUUAAAGCAUAGUAUCAUAUGGAGCAUAAGAACACCCAAUCGUGUCUGUGUUAUUUGCGUUGGAACUGUGUUCAAUUUGUUUUGACUGAAUUAAGUACUUUUUGUUAUCUACGUACUGAAAAUAUUCAAACAUUCUGGAACAGUUAUGAUUGAUUUUUUUUUUGCUGCCUUAUAUUAGUAAUACUAAUCCAAUACGUUUAUUGAAGUAUUUAAAGCGGUAUUGUG